rnacentral:tRNA from 1 species
AGCCCUGAGGUGUUCGUCAUAUUAGAUUGCAAAUCUUAAGGAGCAGACUAACCGUCUGCCGGGGCUU